AAUACAACUCUAACGUUUAAUUGUAGACAAAUUUUAAGUUACACGAAAACAGGCAAACAGCGAAUCAAGUUUCGGCUAGCCGAAUGUUCAAUACACUUUUCUCGGAGAAGAAGAAGAAACAUUUCAAUAUGAAAUGCAUUUGUAAUUAUUAAUUAUUAUUCAUGCGAACCAAAACAACAACCACAAAAUGGAAACGAAAAUGAACAAAGAAAAUCAAGUUAAUGCAAAAGACGCAGACGCUGAAAAAGAAGAAGAAGAAGAAGCAUAGUUAAUAAUAUUAUAUUUUGUUAAGCGUUAUUGUAGUGCAAAAUAUAAGCAUAAAAACAAACGAGCAGACGAAAAGAAAAAAAAACAACAAAUGAAUUAAGUUUUAAGCUGGAUUAUCUAAUAUAAAUAAAACAGCAAGAAUGAGAAGAUGAUGAAGAAGAAGACGAAGAAGAAGAAGAAGAGCAACAACAGCAACAUCAACAAUUGACAACAAAACGAAAAGGUUCAUAAACAUAGUAAAAGUAACAACAAAAACAUAUAUUAUUAAUACAAAUAAAAGCAAAAACAAAACACAAAUAUAUAUAUAUUUUGUACAAAUAUAAUUAAUGACAAACGAGUAAAAAACAAAGUAAAUAAAAACAAAACGCAGCUGCAAAAACCAAGUACACUUAUUAAAGUUUAAGCAACAAAACAAACAACAACAAUUUAAUAUGCAAUUACCGUAACAGUAGUUGAUAAAUCAAAAAUAAAAACAAAAAACCAAAAUUGUAAAAUUUCAACGUAUCAAA